UUGUGCCAUUUCUUAAAAUGGCUAUGACUUAAUCAUUUUAAAUACUGUGACCUUUUAAAUCAAACACCCAUACUUAAUAUGUAGAAUUGUCUGUGGCUCCAAACUGUUCCAUGAGCUUGGGUAACAGAAAACGGGUUGGUUUUCUGGAAGUCAGGAUGGCAAAACAGGCUCAAGGGAAUAUGUAAGUGGGCAGCUAGGAAAAGAGCAACUGCAGUGUAGUUGUUGAGGACAAAAUGUGCAGAACUUCAUUCGUUACUUUGAUUACCUAUUUUUAUCUAGAGGAUACAUCUGUUUUAGUAAAAACAGAAAAGAACAGGAAAGAAACUUCUGGAAAAUAAUGGGCACAAAGGGUGACC
rnacentral:lncRNA from 1 species